GCACUCAGUGAAUCCGCACUCCUCAGACCUUGGGCCAUCGAUGGGACGGGGCACCACGGAGCAGGGGGCGGCUUGGACUGUGCAGGAGCCCCAGGUGCGGGGGAGGCUCGGGCAUGGCGGGCUGCAGGUCCCAAGCCCUGCCCCUCCGGAGGCAGCAGGGGCCCGGGGAGAACUGGAGCGCGGCGCUGGUGGGCAGGCACUGCUGGGGGACCUGGCGCACCCUCCGCAGCUGCUGGCCGGGGUGCUAAGCCCCUCAGUGCCCCGGGCCUGCGGAGCCAGCCUGGCCACUCUGAGCUUGGGGCCCGUCGAGCCCACGCCCACCUGGAGUGCCUGCCACCCUGCCCGGCUAAUUUUUUGUAUUUUUUAGUAGGAGGCAGAGGUUGCAGUGGGCAGAGAUGGCGCCAUUGCACUCCAGCCUGGGCAAAAAAAGUGAAAGUCCGUCUCAAAAAACAACAACAACAACAACAAACU
rnacentral:lncRNA from 1 species